rnacentral:rRNA from 1 species
GACGAACGCUGGCGGCGUGCCUAAUACAUGCCAGUAGAACGCUGAAGGAGGAGCUUGCUUCUCUGGAUGAGUUGCGAACGGGUGAGUAACGCGUAGGUAACCUGCCUGGUAGCGGGGGAUAACUAUUGGAAACGAUAGCUAAUACCGCAUAAUAGUAGAUGUUGCAUGACAUUUGCUUAAAAGGUGCAAUUGCAUCACUACCAGAUGGACCUGCGUUGUAUUAGCUAGUUGGUGGGGUAACGGCUCACCAAGGCGACGAUACAUAGCCGACCUGAGAGGGUGAUCGGCCACACUGGGACUGAGACACGGCCCAGACUCCUACGGGAGGCAGCAGUAGGGAAUCUUCGGCAAUGGACGGAAGUCUGACCGAGCAACGCCGCGUGAGGGAAGAAGGUUUUCGGAUCGUAAAGCUCUGUUGUAAGAGAAGAACGAGUGUGAGAGUGGAAAGUUCACACUGUGACGGUAUCUUACCAGAAAGGGACGGCUAACUACGUG